GUGGAUUAGAUACCCUGGUAGUCCAUGCUGUAAACGAUGAUUACUAGGUGUGGGGGGUCUGACCCCCUCCGUGCCGGAGUUAACACAAUAAGUAAUCCACCUGGGGAGUACGGCCGCAAGGCUGAAACUCAAAGGAAUUGACGGGGGCCCGCACAAGCAGUGGAGUAUGUGGUUUAAUUCGAAGCAACGCGAAGAACCUUACCAGGUCUUGACAUCCAACUAACGAAGUAGAGAUACAUUAGGUGCCCUUCGGGGAAAGUUGAGACAGGUGGUGCAUGGCUGUCGACAACU
rnacentral:rRNA from 1 species